rnacentral:lncRNA from 1 species
AAGGAAGUGCUUGCAGCCGCCUGCGAGGGGCGGCAGUUCUCACUCCCCCGGCGCUGGGAGGAGGCUGGAGGAAGUUUGGCUCCGCUGAUACUAGCCCGGCCGGCUCAGCUCGUAGCUAAGCAGCAGCAGCAGCAGCAGCAGCUCGCGUUGCUCCUGAGCCACCGGCCGCUCACUCCAGAGCUUUUCCUCCAGUGUCCAGUGCAUAUAUUCACACUUUUGAGAAAUGAGAACAGAUGACUCUGAAGCUGUUGAAGUGGGUUGGAGAUCAUGAGUACAAAGAAACUUUUUU